CACUGAUGAUGCUGAGGGGGAGGAGCAUGUCUACCAUGCUCCCUCGCGGUUCCCACAAUUCCCAGCACAGGAACCGCGAGGGAGCAUGGUAGACAUGCUCCUCCUCCUUCAGCCAUC